rnacentral:lncRNA from 1 species
AAUAUUCUAAAAUGGAGCAAUAUUUAACAAGUAAAUGAAUAAUCACUUCAGGAUAAAUACAGCCAUCAUGCUCAAAAAGAGACCCUGAGAUCCAUUUCUUGUCCUUGCAGAGAAGAGAGAUAAUGGGUGAAUGUGUCUUUAUGUAAGUGUCCUCACUGAAGUUUAUUUGCUUCAGGUCUUAAGGUGGCAAAGCAUUUUGCAAUGAAGGCACUUGUAGCUUUACAUUGUUCUGUCUGAGGAGCUUUACCUUUACAGGUCUUGCUCCCAUUAGUACCCACUGAAUGAUGGAUUUUUUAUCCACAUAGGCAUUUUUCAUAUAUCAGAAGACAAUUUUAAAAAGCUGGAAGAUACCUAUAUUAAUUUCACACUCUUCAAGGACAUUUGAAAACUCCCUAGAGGGCUGUUUCCUUUUCU